GUCGAGAAUCUUCCGCAAUGCGCGAAAGCGUGACGGAGCGACACCGCGUGAUGGAUGAAGUCCUUCGGGGCGUAAACAUCUUUUAUAAAGGAGGAAAUUUUUGACGUUACUUUAUGAAUAAGGGGCUCCCAAUCUCGUGCCAGCAGGAGCGGUAAUACGAGAGCCUCAAGCGUUAUCCGGAAUCAUUGGGCGUAAAGGGUGCGUAGGUGGUUUGAUUAGUCUCCCGUUAAAACUUCGAGCUUAACUCGAAAAGAGCGGGGGAAACGGUCAAACUAGAGUAUGUGAGAGGUGUGUGGAACUCAUGGUGUAUGGGUGAAAUCCGUUGAUAUCAUGGGGAACACCAAAAGCGAAGGCAGCACACUGGCACAUCACUGACACUGAGGCACGAAACCUAAGGUAGCGAAUGGGAUUAGAUACCCUAGUAGUCC
rnacentral:rRNA from 1 species